rnacentral:rRNA from 1 species
AUUGAACGCUGGCGGCAGGCCUAACACAUGCAAGUCGAACGAGUGGCGGACGGGUGAGUAAUGUCUGGGAAAAUGCCCGAUGGAGGGGGAUAACUACUGGAAACGGUCGCUAAUACCGCAUAACAUCGGAUGUGCCCCGAUGGGAUUAGCUAGUAGGUGGGGUAACGGCUCACCUAGGCGACGAUCCCUAGCUGGUAUGAGAGGAGGAACAGCAAGACUGGAAGUGAGACAGGGUCCAGACUGCUACGGGAGGCAGCAGGGGGGAAUAUUGCACAAUGGGGGCAAGCCUGAUGCUGCCAUGCGGAGGGUAUGAAGAAGGCCUUCGGGUUGGAAAGUACUUUCAGCGAGGAGGCGUUACUCGCAGAAGAAGCACCGGCUAACUCCGUGCCAGCAGCCGCGGUAAUUC